GGGGUUGUGGCUCGAGUGGUAGUGCACUGACCUAGCAUGUGUGAGGCACUGAGUUCGAUUCUCAGCACCUCA
rnacentral:tRNA from 1 species